rnacentral:rRNA from 1 species
UGGGGAAUAUUGCACAAUGGGGGAAACCCUGAUGCAGCCAUGCCGCGUGUGUGAAGAAGGCCUUCGGGUUGUAAAGCACUUUCAGUCGUGAGGAAAGGUUAGUAAUUAAUACUUGCUAGCUGUGACGUUAGCGACAGAAGAAGCACCGGCUAACUCCGUGCCAGCAGCCGCGGUAAUACGGAGGGUGCGAGCGUUAAUCGGAAUUACUGGGCGUAAAGCGUGCGUAGGCGGUUUGAUAAGCCAGAUGUGAAAUCCCGGGGCUUAAUUUUGGAAUUGCAUUUGGAAUUGUUUGAUUAGAGUAUUGUAGAGGGUGGUGGAAUUUCCAGUGUAGCGGUGAAAUGCGUAGAGAU